rnacentral:rRNA from 1 species
UAAUACCGCGUACGCCCUUCGGGGGAAAGCAGGGGAUCUUCGGACCUUGCGCUAUUGGAUGUGCCUAUGUCGGAUUAGCUAGUUGGUGGGGUAAAGGCCUACCAAGGCGACGAUCCGUAGCUGGUCUGAGAGGAUGAUCAGCCACAUCGGGACUGAGACACGGCCCGAACUCCUACGGGAGGCAGCAGUGGGGAAUAUUGGACAAUGGGGGCAACCCUGAUCCAGCCAUGCCGCGUGUGUGAAGAAGGCUUUCGGGUUGUAAAGCACUUUCAGUGAGGAGGAAAACUCUGCGACUAAUACUCGUAGGGCUUGACGUUACUCACAGAAGAAGCACCGGCUAACUCCGUGCCAGCAGCCGCGGUAAUACGGAGGGUGCAAGCGUUAAUCGGAAUUACUGGGCGUAAAGCGCGCGUAGGUGGUUUGGUAAGCGAGAUGUGAAAGCCCCGGGCUUAACCUGGGAACGGCAUUUCGAACUGUCAGGCUAGAGUAUGGUAGAGGGUAGUGGAAUUUCCUGUGUAGCGGUGAAAUGCGUAGAUAUAGGAAGGAACACCAGUGGCGAAGGCGGCUACCUGGACCAAUACUGACACUGAGGUGCGAAAGCGUGGGGAGCACACAGGAUUAGAUACCCUGGUAGUCCACGCCGUACACGAUGUCUACUAGCCGUUGGGACUCUUGAAGUCUUAGUGGCGCAGCUAACGCACUAAGUAGACCGCCUGGAGAGUACGGCCGCAAGGUUAAAACUCAAAUGAAUUGACGGGGGCCCGCACAAGCGGUGGAGCAUGUGGUUUAAUUCGACGCAACGCGAAGAACCUUACCUGGCCUUGACAUGCAGAGAACUUUCCAGAGAUGGAUUGGUGCCUUCGGGAACUCUGACACAGGUGCUGCAUGGCCGUCGUCAGCUCGUGUCGUGAGAUGUUGGGUUAAGUCCCGUAACGAGCGCAACCCCUAUCCCUAGUUGCUAGCAGUUCGGCUGAGAACUCUAGGGAGACUGCCGGUGACAAACCGGAGGAAGGUGGGGAUGACGUCAGGUCAUCAUGGCCCUUACGGCCAGGGCUACACACGUGCUACAAUGGUGCGCACGGAGGGCUGCAAACCCGCGAGGGGGAGCCAAUCUCACAAAACGCAUCGUAGUCCGGAUCGCAGUCUGCAACUCGACUGCGUGAAGUCGGAAUCGCUAGUAAUCGUGAAUCAGAAUGUCACGGUGAAUACGUUCCCGGGCCUUGUACACACCGCCCGUCACACCAUGGGAGUGGAUUGCACCAGAAGUGGUUAGUCUAACCUUCGGGAGGACGAUCACCACGGUGUGGUUCAUGACUGGGGUGAAGUCGUAACAAGGUAGCCGU